GGGUUACGAGGAGGGUCUCUGGGUCACCUCCCACCCGUGUUUAUCGUACCUUGUUGCUUCGGCGGGCCCGCCUCACGGCCGCCGGGGGGCAUCCGCCCCCGGGCCCGCGCCCGCCGAAGACACACAAACGAACUCUUGUCUGAAGAUUGCAGUCUGAGUACUUGACUAAAUCAGUUAAAACUUUCAACAACGGAUCUCUUGGUUCCGGCAUCGAUGAAGAACGCAGCGAAAUGCGAUAAGUAAUGUGAAUUGCAGAAUUCAGUGAAUCAUCGAGUCUUUGAACGCACAUUGCGCCCCCUGGUAUUCCGGGGGGCAUGCCUGUCCGAGCGUCAUUGCUGCCCUCAAGCACGGCUUGUGUGUUGGGCUCUCGCCCCCCGCUUCCGGGGGGCGGGCCCGAAAGGCAGCGGCGGCACCGCGUCCGGUCCUCGAGCGUAUGGGGCUUCGUCACCCGCUCUGUAGGCCCGGCCGGCGCCCGCCGGCGAACACCAUCAAUCUUAACCAGGUUGACCUCGGAUCAGGUAGGGAUACCCGCUGAACUUAAGCAUAUCAAUAAGACGGAGGAA
rnacentral:rRNA from 1 species